rnacentral:rRNA from 1 species
GGGGACAUUGGUGACAGGUGGUGCAUGGUUGUCGUCAGCUCGUGUCGUGAGAUGUUGGGUUAAGUCCCGCAACGAGCGCAACCCUUGUCUUUAGUUGCCAUCAUUAAGUUGGGCACUCUAGAGAGACUGCCAGGGAUAACCUGGAGGAAGGUGGGGAUGACGUCAAAUCAUCAUGCCCCUUAUGCUUAGGGCUACACACGUGCUACAAUGGGUAGUACAGAGGGUUGCCAAGCCGUAAGGUGGAGCUAAUCCCUUAAAGCUACUCUCAGUUCGGAUUGUAGGCUGAAACUCGCCUACAUGAAGCUGGAGUUACUAGUAAUCGCA